GGCGGCAGGCCUAACACAUGCAAGUCGAACGGUAGCACUGAGGAGCUUGCUCCUUGGGUGACGAGUGGCGGACGGGUGAGUAAUGUCUGGGAAACUGCCCGAUGGAGGGGGAUAACUACUGGAAACGGUAGCUAAUACCGCAUAACGUCGCAAGACCAAAGAGGGGGACCUUCGGGCCUCUUGCCAUCGGAUGUGCCCAGAUGGGAUUAGCUAGUAGGUGGGGUAACGGCUCACCUAGGCGACGAUCCCUAGCUGGUCUGAGAGGAUGACCAGCCACACUGGAACUGAGACACGGUCCAGACUCCUACGGGAGGCAGCAGUGGGGAAUAUUGCACAAUGGGCGCAAGCCUGAUGCAGCCACGCCGCGUGUAUGAAGAAGGCCUUCGGGUUGUAAAGUACUUUCAGCGAGGAGGAAGGUGUUGUGGUUAAUAACCGCAGCAAUUGACGUUACUCGCAGAAGAAGCACCGGCUAACUCCGUGCCAGCAGCCGCGGUAAUACGGAGGGUGCAAGCGUUAAUCGGAAUUACUGGGCGUAAAGCGCACGCAGGCGGUCUGUCAAGUCGGAUGUGAAAUCCCCGGGCUCAACCUGGGAACUGCAUCCGAAACUGGCAGGCUAGAGUCUUGUAGAGGGGGGUAGAAUUCCAGGUGUAGCGGUGAAAUGCGUAGAGAUCUGGAGGAAUACCGGUGGCGAAGGCGGCCCCCUGGACAAAGACUGACGCUCAGGUGCGAAAGCGUGGGGAGCAAACAAAAUUAGAUACCCUGGUAGUCCACGCCGUAAACGAUGUCGACUUGGAGGUUGUGCCCUUGAGGCGUGGCUUCCGGAGCUAACGCGUUAAGUCGACCGCCUGGGGAGUACGGCCGCAAGGUUAAAACUCAAAUGAAUUGACGGGGGCCCGCACAAGCGGUGGAGCAUGUGGUUUAAUUCGAUGCAACGCGAAGAACCUUACCUACUCUUGACAUCCAGAGAACUUAGCAGAGAUGCUUUGGUGCCUUCGGGAACUCUGAGACAGGUGCUGCAUGGCUGUCGUCAGCUCGUGUUGUGAAAUGUUGGGUUAAGUCCCGCAACGAGCGCAACCCUUAUCCUUUGUUGCCAGCGGUUCGGCCGGGAACUCAAAGGAGACUGCCAGUGAUAAACUGGAGGAAGGUGGGGAUGACGUCAAGUCAUCAUGGCCCUUACGAGUAGGGCUACACACGUGCUACAAUGGCAUAUACAAAGAGAAGCGACCUCGCGAGAGCAAGCGGACCUCAUAAAGUAUGUCGUAGUCCGGAUUGGAGUCUGCAACUCGACUCCAUGAAGUCGGAAUCGCUAGUAAUCGUGGAUCAGAAUGCCACGGUGAAUACGUUCCCGGGCCUUGUACACACCGCCCGUCACACCAUGGGAGUGGGUUGCAAAAGAAGUAGGUAGCUUAACCUUCGGGAGGGCGCUUACCACUUUGUGAUUCAUGACUGGGG
rnacentral:rRNA from 1 species